rnacentral:rRNA from 1 species
GACGAACGCUGGCGGCGUGCCUAAUACAUGCAAGUAGAACGCUGAAGGAGGAGCUUGCUCUUCUGGAUGAGUUGCGAACGGGUGAGUAACGCGUAGGUAACCUGCCUGGUAGCGGGGGAUAGCUAUUGGAAACGAUAGCUAAUACCGCAUAACAGUAGAUGUUGCAUGACAUUUGCUUAAAAGGUGCAAUUGCACCACUACCAGAUGGACCUGCGUUGUAUUAGCUAGUUGGUGGGGUAACGGCUCACCAAGGCGACGAUACAUAGCCGACCUGAGAGGGGGGUCGGCCGCACUGGGACGGUGACCCGGCCCAGACUCCCACGGGAGGCAGCAGUAGGGAAUCGUCGGCCAUGGGCGGAAGUCUGACCGAGCAACGCCGCGUGAGUGAAGAAGGUUUUCGGAUCGUAAAGCUCUGUUGUAAGAGAAGAACGAGUGUGAGAGUGGAAAGUUCACACUGUGACGGUAUCUUACCAGAAAGGGACGGCUAACUACGUG